GUCUAUGGCCAUACCACUCUGAAUGUGCCCAAUCUUGUCUGAUCUCAGAAGCUAAGCAGGGUCAGGCCUGGUUAGUACUUGGAUGGGAGGAAUCUAGUCCUCUGCUGAAA
rnacentral:rRNA from 1 species